ensembl:lncRNA
CUGUGAGUCAGCCCGGCAGGCUGCAGACUGUCGCCCCAAUAAAGCUUGCUUGAACGUCCGUGUGUGCCCCCCUUCUUCGGCGACCCUUUCAGUCCUUAUAAAGUAUGUACCUGAAGAAUUCUACUUAAACAUCAGUGAAUAAUUUUAAAGGCAGAAGAACAAGGAAUCUGUCUCUCUCAAACAUAUAUGUAUCAGGUACUAUAUUGAAGAAGAAUGGUAAGUGAGGACAUGAUUGUCGUAUUCCAGAUCUUAAAAGAAAGUUUCAGCUUUUCCCCAUUAACUACAAUGCUGGAUGUGAGUUUGUCACUUACAACUUUUAUUAUGUUAGGAUAUUUGUUCAUUUUAUAUCUAAUUUCAAGAAGAUUUUUAUUAUGG